rnacentral:rRNA from 1 species
GAUUAAAUUAUAUUAAAAUAAAUAUUAGUUUAAUAAAAAAUAAUAGAUAAAAUAAUAUAUUUAGUAUUAGGAUUAGAAAAAAAAUUUUUUUUAUGUACUGAAAAGGAAAAAAUAUAAAUUUUAUUUUUAGUAAAAUUGAAAAUUUGUACCUUUUGCAUCAUGGAUUAAUAAUAUAAAGUAGUAUAUAGCUAAAUUCUCGAAAUAGGAAGAUUUAUUUAUUAUAUACAUAUAUUUAAUAAAAUAAAUAUUAUAAUAUUUUAGUUAACGUUGUAUAGUUAUUAAAUUAAUAAUAAAUGGUAGUGAAAUGCUAUACGAUUUUUAUGGUAGCUAGUUUAUUAAAAAUAACAUUUAAGUGUAAAAAAUUUCUGUUUUAUUAAUUAAAUAAAGGAAUUUUUAAUAUUUAGGGGAUAAGCUCUAUUUAAUUAUAAGAAUUAUAAUAUAUACAUAUAAAUAUAUAAUUAAAGUUUUAUUAAUUAUUUUUCUUUUUGAUUAUAACAAUUUUGUAUUUUUCUUUAUAAGAAUAAUAAAUUUUUAUUAAUUAGAUAUUAAUUAAAUAUAAUGUUAAUAUGAGUAUAUAAAUAAUAUUAUUAAAACUAUAAUAUUUAUAGAUUAUUAUAAUAAUAAAUGGUUAUUUUAUUUAAGUAAUAUAAAGGAAUUCAGCAAAUAUUAAUUUCGCCUGUUUAUCAAAAACAUGUCUCUUUGAUUUUUUAUAAUAAAGAGUUGGGCCUGCUCAGUGAAUGAAUUUAACAGCUGCGGUUAAUAACUGUACUAAGGUAGCAUAAUAAAUUGUCUUAUAAAUUGAGACUAGAAUGAAUGGUUUGACGAAAGUUAUACUGUCUCUAUUAUAUUUUUUUGAAAUUAAUUUUUAUAGUGAAAAAGCUUAAAUUUUUUAAAGGGACGAAAAGACCCUAUUGAGCUUUAUAUUAAUAAUUGAUAAUUGAAAAUUUAUUAUAUUAUUAUUUUUAAUUUUGGUUGGGGUGAUCGAGGAAUAAAAAAGAGAUUUAUAACUUCCUUAAAUAGAUUUCUUUUAGGUUAAUAAACAAAUAUUUUUCUUUUAUGAUAAGUUACCAUAGGGAUAACAGCGUAAUUUCUUUUGAGAGUUCUUAUUAAAAAAGAAGAUUGCGACCUCGAUGUUGGAUUAAAAUUAACCUUAAGGUGGAGAAGCUUUAUUUGGUAAAUCUGUUCGAUUUUUAAAAUUUUACAUGAUCUGAGUUCAAACCGGUGUAAGCCAGGUUGGUUUUUAUCUUUUAAAUUUAUUUUAUAUUUAAUUUAGUACGAAAGGAAUGGUUAAAAUUAAUUUUAUAAAAUUAGAUAAAAUAAAUAUAAAGUUGGCAGAAUAUAUGCAAAUAAUUUAGAAUUAUUUU